UCUAGAAUGCCUGAUUAAAGGGUUACUAUGAUAUAGUAAAUAACGUAGUGUACUAUCUACUUCUAGAG
rnacentral:tRNA from 1 species